rnacentral:lncRNA from 1 species
CAGCAACUUUCCAGUUACCCUUGUGUCCGUGCACAGCUCUUUCCUGUCUUUCCCCAGCUUCUCGUUGACUCUCGACCGCGCACACACACUAGAAACUUCCGCGUGAAGUAAACGGGAAAAUCACCCGCAAGUGUCUCGGCGAGACAGGCUGUUUUGUGAAACCAGAGCUUCGCCCUUUUUCUUUUUCUGUCCCCAUUUCUUUGUAACACAUUCGGAUUCGUCGAGGAGCGUUCCUGUUUACCCUUUUCUUCAUUUAUGUUUCGGCGCCGUCGCGCUGCAUGCGUCGCGAGACAGGCUCGACCGUCCACGCGAGGCAGGCACAUGACGAGCGCACAGAGAACCGAGAAAGACGGCAAAACCUUGAGGCGGUCCUCUGUCUAUACAGCUCAGGCUUCUCAGCCUCCUCGGGGAAAGGACACUGAAUCUUUCGCGAGUCUCGGCAGCUCUGACUCUCGGUGCAAUCACCUCCCUGUCGGCAUGCAAACUUGUGAGAUCACACACACGUGAAUAACUCUCUCUCUCUGGCUGUCCGUGCGUCCCUGCGUAUCUAUCUAUCUCUCUGUCGCUCUAUCUCUCGUUUAUUGAUGUAACCAUGCACCAAUGCAUGUGUAGGUCUGUAGGUGAAUAAACGAAAAUGGAGGCGGAGCGAAGCACGGUUCGAAGUGGACGAUGAGGCUGUGAAGAGGAAUAAUUUAGGAGCGGAAGAUCGAGACGCAGGGAAGCAGGAAGGACGGAACGGCCACGGUGAACGGCCGUAAAGAUGAGGACGAGGGGCCGUUUUUUGGCCGCAUGCAUGCGUCCUUUGAAAGCAGCGGUUCUUCCUUGAAGAAGAAAAUGUGGAGAAGGAACAUGGAGACCACAAAAAGGCCGCAUGUGAGAAGCGAGGCCUCGGCUGCUCGGGUGUCCUUCGUUCGUUCUCAGGUUCCCUGUCUCCAAUCGCCACCAUGAGACUCAGGGAAGAAAGGCGCGUUCGGCGCUGUCGAGGGCCGGAGCCUCUGCUCGUUUUCCGUUUUCUUUUUCUUCCGCUCUUUGCUCUCCUUUUCUCGCUUUCGUCCCUCUCGUACUCGGAGGGGGGCUUCCUCGCCGGCUGCGGUUCGAGGCGGACGCCGUUCGCCCUUCGCCACGGACCGUUUCGCCCGGGCGGUUUUUCUGUCGCCGCGUUUCCGUCCGGCAGCCUCGCGCCUGGCGACCUCUCGCGUGUCGCGGAUCCGAGCUUGCCUUUCUCCUCGCAGGAUCACUCAGGAACGUUUGCCUCUCUUCUUGCGUCGUGGGGCUCUUCGUUUCGG